GGGGUUGUGGCUCAGUGGUAGAGCACUUGCCUAGCAUGUGCAAGGCCCUGGGUUCGAUCCUCAGCACCA
rnacentral:tRNA from 1 species